AUUGUUUGGAGGCAGCCAUAUAAACGGAAUACGUGUAAUUAUCGUCUGACAAAAUAAAGGCAAAUUUAUAUUUGCGACCUCAGAGCAGGUGAGACUACCCGCUGAAUUUAAGCAUAUUAUUAAGCGGAGGAAAAGAAACUAACUAGGAUUUCCUUAGUUCCUUUUGAAAUGAACAGGAAAAAGCCCAGCACUGAAUCCCGCGGCCGAAACCGGACGCCGGGAAAUGUGGUGUUAGGGAGGAUCCGUCUUCUUUUUAAAUUGUGCGACGCGUCCAAGUCCAUCUUGAACGGGGCCACAGCCCAUAGAGGGUGCCAGGCCCGUAGUGACCGUUGCCGAUAACGGGAGGAUCUCUCCUCAGAGUCGGGUUGCUUGAGAGUGCAGCCCUAAGUGGGUGGUAAACUCCAUCUAAGGCUAAAUAUGACCACGAGACCGAUAGCGAACAAGUACCGUGAGGGAAAGUUGAAAAGAACUUGAAGAGAGAGUUCAAUAGUACGUGAAC
rnacentral:ncRNA from 1 species